rnacentral:rRNA from 1 species
UACGGAGGGGGCUAGCGUUGUUCGGAAUUACUGGGCGUAAAGCGCACGUAGGCGGCUUUGUAAGUUAGAGGUGAAAGCCCAGGGCUUAACCCUGGAAUUGCCUUUAAGACUGCAUCGCUAGAAUCGUGGAGAGGUGAGUGGAAUUCCGAGUGUAGAGGUGAAAUUCGUAGAUAUUCGGAAGAAACACCAGUGGCGAAGGCGACUCACUGGACACGUAUUGACGCUGAGGUGCGAAAAGCGUGGGGAGCAAACAGG